UAUUUUUCAUGUGAUAAUUGAGGUGGUCUUGUGUUAUUUAUUGAGGAUUUAUCUGCAUACUAAAAUAGAAAAUGACAUCAAACAACUUCAUAUAAUCUAAUUAGGAAGGGUCUUCUUUCAAACACUUCACUUUUUCAAGUUCUUCAGGUGUAGAGUAGCACACAGACAGAACACGCAGUCGUGAGACAGUGUCGGUGUGUGUUGCGUAGCUGUCCUUCAGUAGGAGAUGAGCCUGGGGUAAGAACAUGGUUGUAAUCCUGGCCUAGUUUAGCAGCAAUCCCAGGAUUGGGGUCAGGGACCAGUAGUAGAAAGUGCAGUGUGGACAGAAGUGUUCCCUCAAUACUCUUGUGUGUUGUGUAAUAUUUAUAACCUUGAUUAUGAACUCUGGAUUGCCUUAAAGCAUUAUAUAGUACACACUGCGUUAUAUUUAUGAUGGCUAAGUGGCUGUAGACAAAAUGUUGUUUGUUAAUAAGAUAUGUCUAUUAAAGUCAGUUUCCUUAAGUGGUAAAUGUUAUUAAAGAUUGUUAGUAUCAAGUUACGAUGUAAUGUACACUGUAGUCUGUAAGCAAGUGUCAGGAUCACAGGCAAGUAAUUCACUCAGUUACCUCCCAUAAAAAUACAUUUUCUUUAUUUAGGUCAUCAUUGUACACAUGGAGCGCAUGAAGAGGCAAGCUUUAAAUUACUGACCAUAAAGAAAAUAAAGUCUAUUUAAAAAUGUUAAUGGGUAUUUCCACAGCAUAUUAGAGGUAUUUAUCACCUAAUGUUACAUCAUCUCUGAUACACCCACUCUUUCUUUCCAUAUGUGGAAUACAUGAUAAAAACCAUAUCUCGAUCAUUUAAGGGAAUAAGAAACAACUUGAUGACUCAUUUGCCAGUGCUCACUAAUUUUACUAUUUUAAAAAAUAAGCAUCUAUAUUUCAACUAGAAAAAUAUUUUUUUAUAUAUUUACAGGGAGGAAGGAAAUAUGUACAAGUCAUUACAAGAAGUCGUUCUUUUGUCUCAAACAGCUUCACUGUGUGUCUGCAGAAAUUAAUGCAGAUGCACGAUGGACUAGUGUUUAACACUAAACUAGGACAACAGUCCUGGUUUGUAGAGUUUGCCUGUUCUCAUUUAUGUUCCCAUUUCCUCUCAUAUCAUUGUUAGCUAUUGUAAAAUACUCUUAAUAUUGCCCUUGAACAAGACACUGGCCUCAGGACUGUAGUUAGUCCUUGGAUGGAGCACUAGGGCUGACCCCUGCUUCUAUUUAGGAUGGGAUCAUUGCAAUGGAUUAAUGUCUCUUUAGGGAUUAAUAUGCGCUAACUUUUUGCAGCAUUUGGAGAGAGAUGGUUGCUCCUGCUACCAUAUAAUGUUUAAACUAACUGGAAUUACCACUGAGGUCCAGUCAUUCAGUUCAGCUAAAGUUAAUCUUGAAUGUACUAAUUUCCAGAGUAGUAACUCAGUUUCAAUGUGCUCUUACUUAAUAAGACAUUUGUAAUUGUGUAUUCAUAAAAUAUAAUUACAUUUUCAGCAACUCUCAGAUGUAUGUACAGUAUGAAGGCAUCAUGAGGAAGCAACUAGAGGCUUGUAUGUGGACAGUUAAAUGUCUAUGCUGUCGCCCUAAUAAUUACAUAAAGUAAUCAUACUCUAUAAAAUGCAUCCUUUACUGCAGCGGUCUUGAGCUUGUCAUCUACCUUUGGCUCUUUGCAAUCAAGGUAAACAAACUCUCAGUUGUAAAUGGUAAGUGACUGGAAGGAGUGAAAAUGAAAUGAUCAUUUUGAAAUAUUGGAAUAUAUGUACAAUAGAUCAGUGAUAGUUCUAUCUACCUGCAUUUACAUGCUGAAACUUUAAAUGAAUAUUACAUUAAUGUACAAUAUACUGUAUGUUAUAUAUACAGUCUACAGUGACUUGGGCUUUGCAGAAGAGAAUUACUUGAAUAGUGUGUUCACUCUUACAUAGAACAUACUGUACGUGGGUAUCACUUACUACACAGCUGUUUCAUAACUACUGUAAAGAAACAGUGAAAAGACAUAUAAAAGUUUCUCCCACAACAAACAAGCUCACACACACACAUACACGUAGAAUCUGUCCAUCUGCACUAACAAUCCUCAAAAUAUAAGGAAACUGGUAGUGUAUGAGGUUGAGUGAAAACCUGAGAUUCAAACUCUUGAUUCAUAUUUUAUAACGUUGUUUCUGUUGUUCCUCAGUGAGGUUUUCCGUUGUGUGUUUGUGUCCCUUAAAGAUAAAUCUUUGCUCUUCUUGGUGAGGACCCUCUUCUUGUUCAGGUGUUUUCUGAUCGGAACCAGUUUUUCUGAAGAAAUACUACGGGGCUGUGCAUUCACUCAUGUAUCCGUCUUCCUGACCUUAUUGCAUUUUUUCCUUGGCGAUGAGGCUGACUGUCAACUGUGGUGCUCAGGUGAUUCUGAAUUCAACCUGUCAAGAGCCGUCUGGGUGCACUCCCAUCGUGUGAACAGCUUUUUGACCUUUUUAGCAUACUGAGCAGGUCUUGGAGCCUCCUCCACCACCACUGGGGUUGUUUGCAGCUGAUGGACAAAGACACAUCAAAGAAACAAGUAAAUAUAUUUGUGGAUUAUGGGGAUGAUGGUACUUGACCUAAAGAGAGUAACAAAAUGGCAUGCAAUUGCACAAAUGACUAUGAUUGGGCAAAUAUAAUUGCAGUGGUUCUGAUAUAUUUCAUAGUUGUGUGAUCAUUCCAAAGAAUUGCAGCACCUUUACUGGCUGUGGUUGCCUCUUUAGCUGCCUUCUCUUCUUCUAUGGCUUUCAGUUUAGCUUCAUACUCUUCUUUUUUAGCAUUCCACUCCUUCCUGUUAUUCAGGAUGCCGUCCAGCAUGGGCUGGAUUUGUGGGUGGAAGCGAGAAAACUCCUGAGAAGAAAAGAGUGAGUGAGUGAAUGGUUUUUAUUUAGCUAUGGACUUAUAGUAGUUCCAGCUAAAUAAAAAGGGAAUUAUGUAUAAAUAUACACAAAAACAGAGCAAGAAACCGCCAAAUAUAUACUAAAUAAAUUAUUUGCUGAGAAUAAGCGUGUACUGUUUAGUUCAUUAGACUAAAUGCAAUAUUAAACAUUACCUUGUAGACAAAUGUGCAGACAAAGUCAAUGAAACCACACUGUAGCUUGGGAAGCUCUGCUGCCUUGUUCCUGUCCAUCAUGGGCUGGUGGGAAGGACAGGAAGAGUUUGAGACACUUAAAAACAUCAUAUUAACAUCCAACAAAUCAGUAAUUACAGCUGCUGUUUAAAGGUCCAGUGUCUAACAUUUAGGAGGAUCAAUUCCAAGAAUGGAAUAUAAUAUUAUUCAUUAGUAUUCAUUAGUGUACAAUCAACUGAAAAUAAGAAUCUAAAAAAAGAAACCACCAGGUUUCUACAGUUGCCCAGAACGGACAAACCAAGCAGUGGCUCUACAUAAAGCCUUUCACAGGUUUCGUGGCCACAGUAGUUUCUCCUACAUGCUUGGAAGGCGAGUGUUAUUCAGCUUGUUGCAACUGGUCUACACAGUGGUCCUUUAAGUGACUGGGAGUGGUAAGACUUCUGGCUUUCUAUGUUUCUACAUCAGUACUGUUACAAUACAACUUUUUGCCAUCAGCGGCAGCACUGAACACAAUGCUGCUGACCACCUCCAGUGCGUUUGGAAGAACACCUUCUUGAAUUUUAUUUGUUGCACCGAGUAUGAAAUCACCUGCGCAGUCAUGUUUUUUAUACCAUCAUCAACCAUGUUUUCCAGAUAUGAUUCUGAUAAGUUUACAUAUCCUAUGAUGAGUUUAUGUUUUUAACAUUCCUGUUUAAUAAGCACAGAGCCUGAAAUAGUCUCAACACACUUAAUAUUUGUGUUGUUGUAGAUUGGUUAAAGAUACAGUCACAUUUAUGGUGUUCUGUCUAUAUGGAUGUAUCAGUCUACAGCCCUUGUUGGUGCAUGUGUCAACAAGGCAAUCGUUUGAAACUGCAGUUAACAGCAGUUCAACAAACAAAAUACAACAAAAAAUAAAUUAUCAUCCUUAGUGCCCUAUACCACACCACAUAUACCCUACACAGUUAUUUACUGAUACUACAACAUGUCCUGUCACAUGUUCAUAUUUCACACAAAUAGAAAUAUAACUCACAAUAGGUUGUUGUUCCAGGACUGUCCUCUCCAGGUCACCCUGCUCCCAAAACUCUGCUGCUACAGACAAGGCAACCUGAAAGAUACACACACCCACAGUCAUCUGUAGAAAAGCAGAUCACGAACACUCAAGACAUGAAGUCAACCCACUUCUUUUCAUCCUCAUAUGUGUGUGAAAGGUCCACGAUCUUCUGGAACAUGGUUCUUUUCCUAGCAAGAUCACCUCUUGAGGGACCUGGAACUUCUUGACCACCCCGACCUCAUAGUACAUCUGGAUCCCGCACUUCACUAGUUCCAUCUCUGUGCAGUUAGAAUCUGCAAAGUGGAACUCGUAGAUCUCAAACUUCUUGAUCA